GUCCACGCCGUAACGAUGAGUACUAGGUGUUGCGGGUAUUGACCCCUGCAGUGCCGCAGCUAACGCAUUAAGUACUCCGCCUGGGAAGUACGGUCGCAAGACUAAACUCAAAGGAAUUGACGGGGCCCGCACAAGCGGUGGAGCAUGUGGUUUAAUUCGACGCAACGCGCAGAACCUUACCUGGUCUUGACAUCUACGGAAGCUUCGUGAAAGCGAGGUGUGCCUUUUCGGGGAGCCGUAAGACAGGGUGCUGCAUGGCUGUCGU
rnacentral:rRNA from 1 species